rnacentral:rRNA from 1 species
CAGCUGUCGAGGUGCUGCAUGGCUGUCGUCAGCUCGUGUCGUGAGAUGUUGGGUAAAAAAACCGCAACGAGCGCAACCCUUGUCUUCUGUUGCCAUCGGGUUAUGCCGGGCACUCUGAAGAGACUGCCGGUGACAAACCGGAGGAAAGGUGGGGAUGACGUCAAGUCAGCAUGGCCUUUAUGUCUGGGGCCACACACGUGCUACAAUGGCCGGCACAAACCGUCGCGAUCUCGCAAGAGGGAGCUAAUCGGAGAAAACCGGUCUCAGUUCGGAUUG